CUCCAUCCUCCAUCCACACGUCCAUCAGCGGAGUACAGAGGAUCAGAGCGAAGGGGAACGCCAGGGUUUGGGGUGUGCGGGAGCUGCGACCCGCCCUCUCCCGGGAGAGGCUCCAGCGAGCCUUCCCCCAGCGCUUGCCUCACGCAGCGGAACCCACCGCCUCAGUGAAGCCGGGGUACGCAGUCUGCGCAGUUCCUGCCGCCGGGCCGCGAACCAGGGCCCGCAACGCGGCCCAACCUUCUCCGCCCUCCUCGCCGUGACGAAUCGGCGCCCGGCUGGGACAGGAUCCAAAUUGAAAGACUUCUGAGGGAUCCGAGGAGCCUGAAAAAAAAAAUCUUUGGCGCACUAAACCUUGCCGCGUCUUCACUGGAAGGGCUGUUCGUCGGAGGAGGGCCGGCCGCAGCCCGCAGAAAAUUCCCCGGAGCGUGUGGAAA
rnacentral:lncRNA from 1 species